UAACGCGUGGGUAACCUGCCUCAUACAGGGGGAUAACAGUUAGAAAUGACUGCUAAUACCGCAUAAGCGCACAGCAUCGCAUGAUGCCGUGUGAAAAACUCCGGUGGUAUGAGAUGGACCCGCGUCUGAUUAGCUGGUUGGUGAGGUAACGGCCCACCAAGGCGACGAUCAGUAGCCGACCUGAGAGGGUGACCGGCCACAUUGGGACUGAGACACGGCCCAA
rnacentral:rRNA from 1 species